rnacentral:lncRNA from 1 species
UAGAGGAGGCCAUGAGGGUCUCACCUGUAACAUUCUGUAGAUAUGACUUGUUUAUUCUGUCUACUGUGAGUGCCUGACUCUGAGUAGAAUCAAGGCCGGGGGAUUGUCAUCUGCUUUGUUUAUGAAAUUAUGCCAAGCCCCAAGAAGAGCGAUGCACAAAUGAGGUGUUUUGAAUGUAUGUGUUGAAUGAGUGAACCCCAACCUUUGGAGAACCCCAGUGAGCCUCUCCAGAUGUCUGAGUGGGCCUGUGGCUCCUUUUUCAGCACCAAGGGACCCCUCUUCUGUCUGUGUCAAGGAGAAAGACCAGCCAGAAGGAAUCUCAGACAUCCUUUACCAGUGCCAUCGCAGACUUGGUUUCUAUGUGUUUUUCCAAACAGUGAGUGAUACAGGCCAUUGAGGCAGAAUGCUGAGAGCUGCUUCAAGUGAGGGGGAAGAGAAAAGUAACAAACAUGAAUCACAGCACCCCCAGCAGAUUUUCCAGAGUUUUAGGCUCUAGGGACCCCUUUGUUUGCUGUGUCUUAGAUCAUUGAGUCCCUACAAGAACCCUGUGAGGUUCGUCUUCUCACUACUCCCUGUUCCAGAGGAGCCAACCGAGGCUCCGAGAGGUGCAUCUUCAAGACAGAGCCAGUAGGGGACAGAGGCACCUCUGUGUCUUGGAGGGGGAUGGACACUCACCUUCUAACCAGUAGUUCCAAAAAGUGUGGCACAGUGAUAAAGUCCCAGGAGGGGCCCAGGCAGGUGGCAUAGGAGGAGAUGGGUUUAGUUAGAAAGGCUGGAACCAGGGACUCCCAACAGCUUCUCCCCAGUGCCGGGCUGGAAAGUUAGCAUCCUGCAGAUCUCAUUUUCAUACUAGGGGGACAAGGAGGGACAUGGGAGUCAGUGGUAACACCAUGGACCACCAGAGGAUCGGGAUCUGGAACUCACACCAAGAAGCACCAACCCUUCAGGGACUUGUGCAUAUGGAGAACCUGGGUGCCCAUGGUGAAAAGCGUUCUAGGCUUUCAAAGUAACAUUGCAUGUGAGGAUGGAGAAUGAUAAAACGAUUCCUGCCUUCAAGGCAUCGUCCCGGUGUUUGUCAGCUGUGGGGCAACAGCACCCUCUGUGUCAGCAACCUGCAUGAAGAGCAUCAUCCCUGCAAGUCCUCAAGGCCUGGGGAGGCCUCAUCCCCUCCUCAUUUCAGCAACAGCACACAGGACAAUACGCUCUAGAAGAACUCUUUGACUUAAAGGUAUAUGAUUGUUUUUGUUCCUUUAACAUGAACGUGAGUCUGGAGAAACAGCUACGGCCAUCCCAGCCCUGGCCAAGGGGAAAAUGCCGGAAGACUCCAGGGUGGGAGGAAGCGCGUCCCAAGGCCCAGGAUCUGCGAGGCGACUUGGGGAAAACGCAGGACCUGCUGAAGCUCACACCCGUGGACCACCCAGACUGCCUGCCGCUACAGGAUGCCCUCCGCAUCUCCCAGGACUUCUUUCCGGCAUCAGUGUGGACAUUGACCCCACUGGACUGCAGUCACAGUGGACUCCCAAGGGGCAGG